rnacentral:rRNA from 1 species
UACGUAGGGGGCAAGCGUUGUCCGGAUUUAUUGGGCGUAAAGAGCGUGUAGGCGGUUGGGCAGGUCCGUUGUGAAAACUCGAGGCUCAACCUCGAGACGCCGAUGGAAACCCCCCAGCUAGAGUCCGGAAGAGGAGAGUGGAAUUCCUGGUGUAGCGGUGAAAUGCGCAGAUAUCAGGAAGAACACCCGUGGCUAAGGCGGCUCUCUAGUACGGUACUGACGCUGAGACGCGAAAGCGUGGGGAGCGAACAGG